CGCGAAAACUUUACAAUGCUGGCAACAGCGAUAAGGGAACCUCGAGUGCCAGGUUACAAACCUGGCUGUCGAGAUGCCUAAAAAGCAUUUCAUAGCAAGGGCCGGGCAAGACCGGUGCCAGUCGCCGCGGUAACACCGGCGGCUCGAGUGGUAACCGUUAUUAUUGGGUCUAAAGGGUCUGUAGCCGGCCGGAUAAGUCUCUUGAGAAAUCUGGCAGCUUAACUGUCAGGCUUUCAGGAGAUACUGUCUGGCUCGAGGCCGGGAGAGGUGAGAGGUACUUCAGGGGUAGGGGUGAAAUCUUGUAAUCCUUGAAGGACCACCAGUGGCGAAGGCGUCUCACCAGAACGGACCUGACGGCAAGGGACGAAAGCUAGGGGCACGAACCG
rnacentral:rRNA from 1 species